rnacentral:lncRNA from 1 species
UGCAGAGUCACUCCAGGCACUCCUCCUGCAGGUAGGGCCUGUAGGGCUCUGCAUCCCCCAAAACCUCCUAUUGGCAAUGGGUGAUCUAUCCACUGCAGUCCUGGAGCGCAGGUCCUUGUUGAGCAAGAUGUAAUCCACACCAUCAUAGGUAAUUUCUUCAUAUGCUCAAAGGAAGCCUCUCUCUGGCCCAAGGUCACACUGUAAAGUGUGAGAGCCCGACCCCACCCUGAGGUCAGUCACUGAACUUCACCCCCUCCUUACACAGAAUCCUUCUCACUCUUGCGACCUCCCUGCUCUGCAAGAACCUAGUCCAGGGCUACUCAAAUUAAGGCAGGAUCACCCAGGUUAUUCCCUCUGUCUUAAAUUCAACUGAUCUGGAACUUAAGUUCAUCUACAAAAUCCCUUGGAUUUUGUACCUCCUGGAUGCCUGUUUGAAUAACUGGGAGAUGUUGAAUAAGCGUGAAAGUGCACAUAUUUCCCACCCCAAUCAAGACCCAAUUCUCAGCACAUCCUUCUACCUUCCACCAUGUGAGAAAAGUGUUCUUCUCCUUCAGAGGAAUCAACAAGACCUCGCUCAUCUUGGAAGGAGAAAAAAAAGUCUUCAUCAUGCAAUUUAAUCCGCUUUUAAUCUUGAACUCUUCAGCCUCCAGAAUGGGAAGGACAUUGACACUCAUAGUGUUAUAGUUAAAACUUCGUCCCAGGGUUUCAUAAACUGACUUCCAGACCACUCACGUAUAAUCGAAUCAAGCCUUUAUUGAAGCACACCGGUGGUGGCUGACCAGAACAUAAAACUGUUCCCCUGAUCAGCCCCGAACAAUUGCAAGGGCACUCCUUAUAAGCCUGAAAACCGCAAAAGGGAUGUUCAGGGGGGUCUAGCCAAUGCAAGCAAGCCAGGUUACAGAAGCGGGACAGUGCAGUCAAGCAAAGGGAAGCCUAAACAAUCACAGUUAGCCCAGUCACCCCAGUUACAGAAACAGAGCCCGGUUACCCUAGUUUCAGAAACAAUACCCCAUUAGGUAGUUCCGUGUUCUUAAAGGUUUCUAUAGUAAAAGGAAAAGAACAUCUUGCCCCAGUCAUGACUCUUCUACUUGGCAUGGUUGUUUUGCAGGAUGAAGUCAUAAAACAAAAUGGAGUCACAUUUGCUCCUACUAUCACAAUAGGAUAAAGACUUGAUCAAGAGAGAGAAAUGGGGCUGAGAAUGUUAAAACAAAACACUGACUGAAAGUAGUGGUGUACAUGGUGCCUGUGGACGGUGUAGAUGUGGUUCUGUCUUGUCUUCCUAUGGAUGGAACCAGAAUUUGCAAAGACUAGUGUUUUUCACCCCUUUCUUAUGGAAUGGCACUCAGAGAAGUUGUGCACUCUCUACAUACUGGAAUAUGACAGUG